UUUUCUUUUCCUCCCCCCCAAAACCCCCCCCACCACUUCCCUAGCCUAUGCACAAUUUGUCUGGGUAUCACAUGUGUCCUUGCUCUGAACCCAUUUCCUUGUUGUUGGUAUUUGCAUUAGGGUGCUCAUUUAGCGUCUCUCCUCAGAUCAUGUCCCCUCAACCUCUGUAGUCAAGCAGUUGCUUUUCCUCGGUGUUUUUACUCCCUCAGUUUGUCCUCUGCUUGAGGAUAGUUUAGUUGUUUGUUUUGUUUUUUUUUUUUCUCGUAGAUCGCUGUAGGUUGUUCAGGGACAUUGUAAAGCCAUUACUGGAGAAGUCCAUUAUGUUCUCUCUGACCACAAUGUGUCAGUCUCUGUGUACAAUGUUCUCCUGGUUCUGCUCCUCUCACUCUGCAUCACUUCCUGGAGGUUGUUCCAGUCUCCAUGGAAUUCCUCCACUUUAUUAUUCCUUUGAGCACAAUAGUAUUCCAUCACCAACAUAUACCACAAUUUGUUCAGCCAUUCUCCAAUUGAAGGGCAUCCCCUCAUUUUCCAAUUUUUGCCACCAUAAAGAGCACAGCUAUAAAGAUUUUUGUUCAAGUCUUUUUCCUUAUGAUCUCCUUAGGAUAUAAACCCAGCAGUGGUAUGGCUGGAUCAAAGGGCAGACACUCUUUUAAAGCCCUUUGGGUAUAGUUCCAAAUUGCUCUCCAGAAUUGUUGGAUAUGAUCCCCUUUUUUUUUUUUAAUAACCCUUACCUUCCGUCUUGGAGUCAAUACUGUGUAUUGGCUCCAAGGCAGAAGAGUGGUAAGGGCUAGGCAAUGGGGGUCAAGUGACUUGCCCAGGGUCACACAGCUGGGAAGUGGCUGAAUCCAGAUUUGAACCUAGGACCUCCCGUCUCUAGGCCUGGUUCUCAAUCCACUGUGCUACCCAGCUGCCCCAUGAUCCCUUUUUAAAAGAAAUGAUUAGUAAAGAUUUAGAGAUUCCAUGGCUUACCCAAGAUGAAAUAAAAGCAAUAACAGGACCA
rnacentral:lncRNA from 1 species